rnacentral:rRNA from 1 species
GACGGGGGAUGCAAGCGUUAUCCGGAAUCACUGGGCGUAAAGCGUCUGUAGGUGGUGAUGCAAGUCACUGGUGCAAAACUCUGGCUCAACCGGAGGAAAGCCAGUGAAACUGCAUGACUAGAGUGUGGGAGAGGUAUAAGGAAUUCCCUGAGUAGCGGUGAAAUGCGUAGAUACAGGGAAGAACACCGGAGGCGAAAGCGUUCUACUGGAACACAACUGACACUGAGAGACGAAAGCGAGGGGGGCGGAUGGG